GGGGGAUAUUGCACAAUGGAGGAAACUCUGAUGCAGCAACGCCGCGUGAGGGAAGACGGUUUUCGGAUUGUAAACCUCUGUCCUUGGUGACGAAACAAAUGACGGUAGCCAAGGAGGAAGCUCCGGCUAACUACGUGCCAGCAGCCGCGGUAAUACGUAGGGAGCGAGCGUUGUCCGGAUUUACUGGGUGUAAAGGGUGCGUAGGCGGCUCUGCAAGUCAGGCGUGAAAGCCAUGGGCUUAACUCAUGGACUGCGUUUGAAACUGUGGAGCUUGAGUGAAGUAGAGGUAGGCGGAAUUCCCGGUGUAGCGGUGAAAUGCGUAGAGAUCGGGAGGAACACCAGUGGCGAAGGCGGCCUACUGGGCUUUAACUGACGCUGAGGCACGAAAGCAUGGGUAGCAAAC
rnacentral:rRNA from 1 species